UUGGCGGCCGUCGCGAUCAGUUGAGUGUUGACCGCGGAUCCAAGCGGACGACGUCUCUCCCGUUUCGUUUCGUGCAGAGUCUCCCCCGUGCUGUGGCAGCAAAUAAUCGGUGGAUCGUGUGCGGGCGAGCUCCAAUCAUUUCACUCUCGAAAGUGUGCUGCGCUGGAGAUAGUGUGCUAUUUUCGAAUUUCUGUGUCGUGUAGACUUUACCUUUGGACGGGCCGCAGCAGCCGUCGAACGCCCAUCAAUCAACUACCAGCACGCGUUCGAGGUCGUCCUGUUUCCAACACGUCUUCAUCACACAUGUUUUCAUCCAAUUCACCAUCACCAUGAGUCAAUACUAUUUUCCUAUCCUUUUGGUGUUUCUACUGGAACUUUUUCGACUCACACAGUCUCACCCGUUCGUCUUCAGCUCAUCGGGGGGUGGCCAGCGGAAAGCUCAAGUCGAGUGGCAGCAGCCGGACGAUGACUGGAACAUCCAAACCGUACCACGAAGUGUACACCCGCUACUCGAGAAUCAGCAUAACGUUCAUCGAUUACCUCCUACGAGCUAUCACGUUAUCGAUUCCGAGAACCACGAUGAUAAAAUUCUAAAGCGCCUGAUGGAAAUCAGAGAAAAUGCUACGGCACGGACCUUGUUCUCCUACAAUAAAGAAGAGUCACAUCUUCCGCCACUACUCACAAAAACAAUCAAAUACUUCAACCUACAGCAGGUGGCUUUUGAGCUGGAAACCAGUGUGAUGUCCCAAGUGUCAUGUACGGCUUGCAAAGCAGGUGCUGGACUACUCCAGCACUACAUCCGCACUGGCAAAAGCAAAGAAGAGAUCAUCAAAACCAUCUACCAGUACUGCGUUAAUCUGAAGAUCCAGUCUCCUCGGGUAUGCGAAGGUGUCAGUCAACUGUUCGGCGUAGAAGUAAUCUACGUCCUGAAGCGAGUCACCAUCGGUCCAGAUGAAAUUUGCAGUUUCAUCAUCGGUGAUGCAUGUGAAGAUAUCUACAACCCAUACCACGAAUGGGAAGUAGAUUUCCCACCAGUCCCCAAACCGGAAGUCCACGAGAUUUCCCUUCCCACAGAAGGAGGGCCAGUUUUCAAAGUACUGCAUCUCUCGGAUACGCACUUCGAUCCGUACUACGCCGAGGGAUCCAACGCAGACUGCAACGAGCCUCUUUGCUGUCGAUUGACCAAUGGCCGUCCAACAACACCGAAUGGAGCGGCCGGCAAAUGGGGUGACUACCGUAAGUGCGACACACCUCAACGAACGGUCGAACACAUGCUCAGCCACAUCGCCGACACGCACUCAGAUAUUGAUUUCAUCAUCUGGACCGGUGAUCUACCGCCGCACGAUGUCUGGAACCAAACCAAGGAUGAAAAUCUAAAGGUUCUCAAAGAAACAGUCAAACAGAUGUCGGAUAAGUUUCCCGGUAUUCCAAUCUUCCCCGCGUUGGGAAACCACGAGAGCGCUCCAGUCAAUAGCUUUCCCCCUCCAUAUGUUCAACAGGUCGACAGUUCGAUCUCGUGGCUGUACGACGAACUGGACGUCCAGUGGCGACGAUGGCUACCAGCCAGCGUUUCGCACACGGUUCGUCGCGGUGCCUUCUACUCGGUCCUCGUUCGACCGGGCUACCGAAUCAUCUCGAUGAACAUGAACUACUGCAACAACAAAAACUGGUGGUUGCUGCUCAACUCAACCGAUCCUGCCACCGAGUUGUCGUGGUUUAUCUACGAACUGCAGAGUGCGGAGUUUGCCAACGAGAAAGUUCACGUGAUCGGACACAUUCCGCCGGGUCAUUCGGAUUGUUUGAAGGUUUGGAGCAGGAACUAUUACAAAAUUGUGUCCCGGUACGAGAGUACGAUCGUGGCGCAAUUCUUUGGCCAUACGCACUUCGAUGAGUUCGAGGUGUUCUACGAUCCGCAUGACUUGAGUCGAGCAACAAGCAUAGCGUACAUCGGGCCGUCGGUGACUCCCUACAACGAUCUGAAUCCGGGUUACCGGAUUUAUUACAUAGAUGGAGAUCACGAGCACACCACUCGGCUAGUAGUAGACCACGAAUCGUGGAUUAUGAACCUGAAGGAAGCCAACCUGUACGACUAUCCUAUUUGGUACAAACUGUAUUCAACGCGGGCAGCGUAUACAAUGCGUGGUCUCCGGCCUGCUGAUUGGGACUUGCUGAUCAACAAUAUGACAGACAACAAGGAGCUGUUCGACCUGUAUUACAAACACUACUGGAAGAACUCACCCGUACGGCCGGAGUGCGACUUCGAGUGCCGGAAGCGGAUACUGUGCGAUGCCAAGAGCGGCCGCAGCCACGAUCGCAAGUACUUCUGCGAGGGCGUCGAGGCCAAAAUCGACGAAAACAACAAAGGCUGGAAGGACUGGCUGCUCAGUUCGAUCUCCUCUUCCGGAAAUUACGCACACAAUGAAAACAACAGCAAAGCUUACGACAGCAAACGUCAAGAUGAUAACAAGCAGGUGGAUGCCGACUCUGAUAACCACCAGGAACUGGUUGCGAAGGCUUUGGAAGAUAAUCGGUCCAACCCAAGCGUCCAAUUGGCAAAAGGGUGAAUUAGGAUUGCUUUUUUUACUUAAUACUGAAUUGCUUUUAUCUCAUAUGUAAUGUAAAUAAAAUAUGAAUCAAUAGAUGUCAAUAAACUAUCUAACCUCUAAUUGUCAAAAACGGCGCAAGCUUUUUGUCUAAUUCUGCUAGGUUAUGGUCAACUAAGCCAGGGCUUGGAUAUCCUACGCCUUAUCGGGUUUGACGCGGAUCUUCUGGCGCAAGCGAUGAUCCCGAAGAAUAGCAGCACACCCACACAUCGAUUACCCGCAAACUAAAUAACUGAAAGGAAGACGCCAGCAUUACCUCCUUAUUGAUAUUACAAAAGCAAUGGUACACUUCCUCAUGGUACAACAUUCCACCUUGCAGCAAUCGAUUGUCACCCCGGCAGCGAAUCGAUAACUACAACAACAAUAAGGCAUGCCAUUGAUACAAAGAAAACAAAAGUGUUCAUCGAGUCUCGUAGCGUAAACUUCGGAAGGAAGUCAGACUAAUACAUAUACAAGGAUUGUGAUAAGUGUAGUGGAAACCGGACGACAGUUACUGUUCAGCAAAUCCCUUGGAUCCAGUGUUUUAAAACGUACGACAAAGCAAGUCAACUCAAGCAAUGCAUCUAUCCAGUAUGAUUGUACAGUAAUGAUUUAAAUUUUACCAAAAUAAAUUAUUUAUAUUGUAAUUGUAA